GGAUGCUCGCCAUCUCGACAGUGGGUGGGAGGAGUGGCGGCCGCCUCGCAAGCCCGGGCGAUGCGCCGCAUCGUGUGGGAAAGAGCUGCACUGCUGUAGACUCACUCGUUCCUGCGGCACGUGCUCUUAAACAGCCCGUUUUAAAGCUGCGUGCAACGCCUUGCUUCCAAAAAAAUCUCUCUGCGAAGCGCUGUCGAUGUAUCAGUCACUUCUCUGAAGCUUGAUGCAAGAGGACUUGAAAUUCUCUCUCCUUUUGAACUAACUCCUCCAGUAACCUGUGAAGUAAUGGGAACAAAGCACACAUUUCCUUCAGUAGCUUCAAAUUUUCAGGAAAGGAAAGAUCUUACUAUACCUAAAAUGGAAACCUUCCUGACAAAGACAAUGACAGAUUUCUUCAGUUUGCACAGGUACCCCUGCUGUUGCUGUUCUGGCAUAUUUAGCAUUCCAUCAUUAUAAGAAUACCAUGUUCACCAAAAAAUGGCAUCCAAACAUAGAGAGGAAAUUACAAAAAGGCCUCUCUCCCAACAAUUAAAAGCACACUUCCCUUCUACUUACCAGAGGGAACAUCGCCUAUUUUGUAAUGAUGCACAUCCACAAAACUACAAACACAAAGCUAUACCCUGUUUUCUGUUGUUCCCUGUUUAAACUACCUACCAGAGCCCACCAGAUCUCCUUGAUGAUAAUCUGAGACUCAACCCAUGCAGGAAACAGGAAUGCUGUUCCAGACCCAGCUGAGAGAGGCAUGCAACACUUUCUGGGAUUUGUGAUUGAGUUUCAGCGUAUCAUGAUAACUGAUUAUUACUUGCAUACAUAUGCAAAAACUGUGUCUGUUACAGCAACGCUCUAACAGAGCACAGAUCACAAGUAUCUUUUAACAUUUUCUGUAGUUACCAGGAUAACUGUGGGUUACUCUCUCCCCACUCCCAAGAGUUAGAAGCUGCUUGUAUUUGCAUGGCACCAAUUUCCCAUUACAGUAACUGCAGUACAUACAUAAUAAUCAUAUUGGUUUGCAUCAGUUUCUAAACACUAGUAUCUUUAGAAGAUGAGUUGUCAUGUUUUAUACAAAUGUUUUAGACCAGCAAUACUGUGCCUUGAGAAUAAAGUGGAACAAUUAACUACUAACACACACACAAACAGGAACAAAAAAACCUGUCAUCCAAUUACAGUGUUGCAACACUUCGCAGUGUGGUCAUGACCUGUUAUUUCUUCAGUGUUGUCCUGAACUGAUACAUCAUCAUAAUGAAUCAUCCCCACAAAGGAGUGCCAAAAGGUCAUUCUGCAAUUAUUUUGUUGUUUGUUGUAGCUCUCACAAUUACUACAUCCUCCCUCCAUACCUGCUUUCGAUUGUACUAAAGAAUAGCUGCAAUUUAUUUUCUCCUGAGCCCCCUCUCUCCCCUGUUAUGGCUGUUGGCUAGAAGGCGAUGGUGUAUCCAUCAGCCCCAUUUUUUCCACACAUUAGCCUAAGGUAAGGCCAGAGCAGGCCAAAAGACUAAACCUCCCUCUGUCAAACCAGUCAGCCAGAACACAGAAGUUUAAAAGGGGGUCAAGAUAAUCCACUCCUGGAGAUGAUCUACCUUAUAUGAGUAGCCUGACCCAAAGUCAGUAAAAUUUGAAAAGCACUGGUAAAAUAGAGUAUCAUGAAAACACGUUUUUUCUGUUGUCUUGCCAGUACUGAUACCCAGGAAUAUACGUAGUAAUUACAAACAAAAAAGGUAUAUGUAAUGCAUCAUGAAAACUUUCAAAGCCUGUUUUUAAUAGCUCAAAUAAAACAGUGACCGUGAAAGCUUA